GCUCCGGUGGCCUAGUGGUUAAACCGCCCGACUCGGAUGUGGGAGGUCGCAGGUUCGAACCCUAGCCGAGUCA